rnacentral:rRNA from 1 species
CCUACGGGUGGCAGCAGUGGGGAAUAUUGGGCAAUGGAGGAAACUCUGACCCAGCAAUGCCGCGUGAAUGAAGAAGGUCUUCGGAUUGUAAAGUUCUUUAGUCAGGGAAGAAGUCAAUGACGGUACCUGAAGAAUAAGCUCCGGCUAACUACGUGCCAGCAGCCGCGGUAAUACGUAGGAUGCGCGCGUUAUCCGGAUUUAUUGGGUUCAAUGGGUGCGCAGGCGGAGGUGCAAGUCAGCGGGAAAAUUGCGGGGCUAAACCCCGUACUGCCGUUGAAACUGCAUCCCUUGAGUGCGCGAGAGGUAUGCGGAAUGCGUGGUGUAGCGGUGAAAUGCGUAGAGAUCACGCAGAACUCCGAUGGCGAAGGCGGCAUACCGGAG